GUCAGAGUUUGAUCCUGGCUCAGGAUGAACGCUAGCGGCAGGCUUAACACAUGCAAGUCGAGGGGUAUAGUUCUUCGGAAUUAGAGACCGGCGCACGGGUGCGUAACGCGUAUGCAAUCUACCUUUCACAGAGGGAUAGCCCAGAGAAAUUUGGAUUAAUACCUCAUAGUAUAUAGAAGUGGCAUCACUUUUUAUAUUAAAGUCACAACGGUGAAAGAUGAGCAUGCGUCCCAUUAGCUAGUUGGUAA
rnacentral:rRNA from 1 species